rnacentral:rRNA from 1 species
AUGCAAGUCGAGCGGAACGACUUAACUGAACCUUCGGGGAACGUUAAGGGCGUCGAGCGGCGGACGGGUGAGUAAUGCCUAGGAAAUUGCCCUGAUGUGGGGGAUAACCAUUGGAAACGAUGGCUAAUACCGCAUGAUGCCUACGGGCCAAAGAGGGGGACCUUCGGGCCUCUCGCGUCAGGAUAUGCCUAGGUGGGAUUAGCUAGUUGGUGAGGUAAUGGCUCACCAAGGCGACGAUCCCUAGCUGGUCUGAGAGGAUGAUCAGCCACACUGGAACUGAGACACGGUCCAGACUCCUACGGGAGGCAGCAGUGGGGAAUAUUGCACAAUGGGCGCAAGCCUGAUGCAGCCAUGCCGCGUGUGUGAAGAAGGCCUUCGGGUUGUAAAGCACUUUCAGUCGUGAGGAAGGUGGUAGUGUUAAUAGCACUAUCAUUUGACGUUAGCGACAGAAGAAGCACCGGCUAACUCCGUGCCAGCAGCCGCGGUAAUACGGAGGGUGCGAGCGUUAAUCGGAAUUACUGGGCGUAAAGCGCAUGCAGGUGGUUUGUUAAGUCAGAUGUGAAAGCCCGGGGCUCAACCUCGGAAUAGCAUUUGAAACUGGCAGACUAGAGUACUGUAGAGGGGGGUAGAA